UUCUAUAAGUCCAGAAAUUAUAUGUCAGUGCGAAAUAUUUCUUGGGGGGCUCUAAUCUAUAGCUUGUGUUACCUAUAGAUAAAUUCGGUCCUGGUAGCACGAUUGGUGAGAACAGAAUGUAUUUAUUUUUGCUGUUAUUUAGGUAUGAAAGGGUUAUAUUUCUUUGCCUAAUAGUUGAAGGGUAUAAAUGUUAACAGUUUGAUGUGAAUAAUUGUGAACUGAAUGUUAUGAUUUUUGUAUGACAAGUAAAGGUUUGUGAGUGGUUGUUAUAUGACAAGUAAAGUUUUGCGAGUGGUUGUUGUAUGACAAGUAAAGGUUUGCGAGUGGUUGUUGUAUGACAAGUAAAGGUUUUUGAGUGGUUGUUGUAUGACAAGUAAAGGUUUGUGAGUGGCUGUUGUAUGACAAGUAAAGGUUUGCGAGUGGUUGUUGUAUGACAAGUAAAGGUUUUUGAGUGGUUGUUGUAUGACAAGGAAAGGUUUGAGAGUGGUUUGUUGUAUGACAAGUGAAGGUUUGCGAGUGGUUGUUGUAUGACAAGGAAAGGUUUUUGAGUGGUUGUUGUAUGACAAGGAAAGGUUUGCGAGUGGUUGUUAUAUGACAAGGAAAGGUUUGAGAGUGGUUGUUGUAUGACAAGAAAAGGUUUGCGAGUGGUUGUUGUAUGACAAGGAAAGGUUUUUGAGUGGUUGUUGUAUGACAAGUAAAGUUUUGCGAGUGGUUGUUGUAUGACAAGGAAAGGUUUUUGAGUGGUUGUUGUAUGACAAGGAAAGGUUUGCGAGUGGUUGUUGUAUGACAAGGAAAGGUUUGCGAGUGGUUGUUGUAUGACAAGGAAAGGUUUUUGAGUGAUUGUUGUAUGACAAGUAAAGUUUUGCAAGUGGUUGUUGUAUGACAAGUAAAGGUUUUUGAGUGGUUGUUGUAUGACAAGGAAAGGUUUGCGAGUGGUUUGUUGUAUGACAAGGAAUGGUUUGCG
rnacentral:sRNA from 1 species